UACGUAGGGGGCAAGCGUUGUCCGGAUUUAUUGGGCGUAAAGAGCGUGUAGGCGGCUGGGUAGGUCCGUUGUGAAAACUCGAGGCUCAACCUCGAGACGCCGAUGGAAACCCCCCAGCUAGAGUCCGGAAGAGGAGAGUGGAAUUCCUGGUGUAGCGGUGAAAUGCGCAGAUAUCAGGAAGAACACCCGUGGCUAAGGCGGCUCACUGGUCCGGUACUGACGCUGAGGUGCGAAAGCGUGGGGAGCAAACAGG
rnacentral:rRNA from 1 species